UACGUAGGGUGCGAGCGUUAAUCGGAAUUACUGGGCGUAAAGCGUGCGCAGGCGGUUUUGUAAGCCAGAUGUGAAAUCCCCGGGGCUCAACCUGGGAACUGCAUUUGGGACUGCAAGGCUAGAGUACGGCAGAGGGGGGGGUAGAAUUCCUGGUGUAGCAGUGAAAUGCGUAGAUAUCAGGAGGAAUACCGAUGGCGAAGGCAGCCCCCUGGGUCGAUACUGACGCUCAUGCACGAAAGCGUGGGGAGCAAACAGG
rnacentral:rRNA from 1 species